rnacentral:rRNA from 1 species
UGGGGAAUAUUGCACAAUGGGCGCAAGCCUGAUGCAGCCAUGCCGCGUGUAUGAAGAAGGCCUUCGGGUUGUAAAGUACUUUCAGUCGGGAGGAAGGUGUCAAGGUUAAUAACCUUGGCGAUUGACGUUACCCGCAGAAGAAGCACCGGCUAACUCCGUGCCAGCAGCCGCGGUAAUACGGAGGGUGCAAGCGUUAAUCGGAAUUACUGGGCGUAAAGCGCACGCAGGCGGUCUGUCAAGUCGGAUGUGAAAUCCCCGGGCUCAACCUGGGAACUGCAUUCGAAACUGGCAGGCUAGAGUCUUGUAGAGGGGGGUAGAAUUCCAGGUGUAGCGGUGAAAUGCGUAGAGAUCUGGAGGAAUACCGGUGGCGAAGGCGGCCCCCUGGACGAAGACUGACGCUCAGGUGCGAAAGCGUGGGGAGCAAACAGG